AUGAAGAGUUUGAUCCUGGCUCAGGAUGAACGCUAGCUACAGGCUUAACACAUGCAAGUCGAGGGGCAGCAUUUCAGUUUGCUUGCAAACUGGAGAUGGCGACCGGCGCACGGGUGAGUAACACGUAUCCAACCUGCCGAUAACUCGGGGAUAGCCUUUCGAAAGAAAGAUUAAUACCCGAUGGUAUAAUCAGACCGCAUGGUCUUGUUAUUAAAGAAUUUCGGUUAUCGAUGGGGAUGCGUUCCAUUAGGCAGUUGGUGAGGUAACGGCUCACCAAACCUUCGAUGGAUAGGGGUUCUGAGAGGAAGGUCCCCCACAUUGGAACUGAGACACGGUCCAAACUCCUACGGGAGGCAGCAGUGAGGAAUAUUGGUCAAUGGGCGCAGGCCUGAACCAGCCAAGUAGCGUGAAGGAUGACUGCCCUAUGGGUUGUAAACUUCUUUUAUAUGGGAAUAAAGUUUUCCACGUGUGGAAUUUUGUAUGUACCAUAUGAAUAAGGAUCGGCUAACUCCGUGCCAGCAGCCGCGGUAAUACGGAGGAUCCGAGCGUUAUCCGGAUUUAUUGGGUUUAAAGGGAGCGUAGGUGGACAGUUAAGUCAGUUGUGAAAGUUUGCGGCUCAACCGUAAAAUUGCAGUUGAUACUGGCUGUCUUGAGUACAGUAGAGGUGGGCGGAAUUCGUGGUGUAGCGGUGAAAUGCUUAGAUAUCACGAAGAACUCCGAUUGCGAAGGCAGCUCACUGGACUGCAACUGACACUGAUGCUCGAAAGUGUGGGUAUCAAACAGGAUUAGAUACCCUGGUAGUCCACACAGUAAACGAUGAAUACUCGCUGUUUGCGAUAUACAGUAAGCGGCCAAGCGAAAGCAUUAAGUAUUCCACCUGGGGAGUACGCCGGCAACGGUGAAACUCAAAGGAAUUGACGGGGGCCCGCACAAGCGGAGGAACAUGUGGUUUAAUUCGAUGAUACGCGAGGAACCUUACCCGGGCUUAAAUUGCAUUUGAAUAUAUUGGAAACAGUAUAGUCGUAAGACAAAUGUGAAGGUGCUGCAUGGUUGUCGUCAGCUCGUGCCGUGAGGUGUCGGCUUAAGUGCCAUAACGAGCGCAACCCUUAUCUUUAGUUACUAACAGGUCAUGCUGAGGACUCUAGAGAGACUGCCGUCGUAAGAUGUGAGGAAGGUGGGGAUGACGUCAAAUCAGCACGGCCCUUACGUCCGGGGCUACACACGUGUUACAAUGGGGGGUACAGAAGGCAGCUACCUGGUGACAGGAUGCUAAUCCCAAAAGCCUCUCUCAGUUCGGAUCGAAGUCUGCAACCCGACUUCGUGAAGCUGGAUUCGCUAGUAAUCGCGCAUCAGCCAUGGCGCGGUGAAUACGUUCCCGGGCCUUGUACACACCGCCCGUCAAGCCAUGAAAGCCGGGGGUACCUGAAGUACGUAACCGCAAGGAGCGUCCUAGGGUAAAACUGGUAAUUGGGGCUAAGUCGUAACAAGGUAGCCGUACCGGAAGGUGCGGCUGGAACACCUCCUU
rnacentral:rRNA from 1 species